rnacentral:rRNA from 1 species
AACGAACGCUGGCGGCACGCCUAACACAUGCAAGUCGAGCGCUACCUUCGGGUGGAGCGGCGGACGGGUUAGUAACGCGUGGGAACAUGCCCUUCACUAAGGAAUAGCCACUGGAAACGGUGAGUAAUACCUUACACGCCCUUCGGGGGAAAGAUUUAUCGGUGAAGGAUUGGCCCGCGUUAGAUUAGAUAGUUGGUGGGGUAACGGCCUACCAAGUCGACGAUCUAUAGCUGGUUUGAGAGGAUGAUCAGCAACACUGGGACUGAGACACGGCCCAGACUCCUACGGGAGGCAGCAGUGGGGAAUCUUAGACAAUGGGCGCAGGCCUGAUCUAGCGAUGCCGCGUGAGUGAUGAAGGCCUUAGGGUCGUAAAGCUCUUUCACCAGGGAUGAUAAUGACAGUACCUGGAAAAGAAACCCCGGCUAACUCCGUGCCAGCAGCCGCGGUAAUACGGAGGGGGUUAGCGUUGUUCGGAAUUACUGGGCGUAAAGCGUACGUAGGCGGAUUAGUAAGUUAGGGGUGAAAUCCCGGGGCUCAACCCCGGAACUGCCUUUAAUACUGCUAGUCUUGAGUUCGAGAGAGGUGAGUGGAAUUCCGAGUGUAGAGGUGAAAUUCGUAGAUAUUCGGAGGAACACCAGUGGCGAAGGCGGCUCACUGGCUCGAUACUGACGCUGAGGUACGAAAGUGUGGGGAGCAAACAGGAUUAGAUACCCUGGUAGUCCACACCGUAAACGAUGAAUGCCAGUCGUCGGGCAGUAUACUGUUCGGUGACACACCUAACGGACUAAGCAUUCCGCCUG